rnacentral:rRNA from 1 species
UGGGGAAUAUUGCACAAUGGGCGCAAGCCUGAUGCAGCCAUGCCGCGUGUAUGAAGAAGGCCUUCGGGUUGUAAAGUACUUUCAGCGAGGAGGAAGGCGUUGUGGUUAAUAACCGCAACGAUUGACGUUACUCGCAGAAGAAGCACCGGCUAACUCCGUGCCAGCAGCCGCGGUAAUACGGAGGGUGCAAGCGUUAAUAGGAAUUACUGGGCGUAAAGCGCACGCAGGCGGUCUGUCAAGUCGGAUGUGAAAUCCCCGGGCUCAACCUGGGAACUGCAUUCGAAACUGGCAGGCUAGAGUCUUGUAGAGGGGGGUAGAAUUCCAGGUGUAGCGGUGAAAUGCGUAGAGAUCUGGAGGAAUACCGGUGGCGAAGGCGGCCCCCUGGACAAAGACUGACGCUCAGGUGCGAAAGCGUGGGGAGCAAACA